AACGAACGCUGGCGGCAUGCCUAACACAUGCAAGUCGAACGCGUGGCUUCGGCCACGAGUGGCGCACGGGUGAGUAACGCGUGGGAACCUGCCCAUCGGUACGGAACAACCGCGGGAAACUGCGGCUGAUACCGUAUAUACCCUGCGGGGAAGGAUUAUCGCCGAUGGAGGGGCCCGGCGUCGGAUUAGGUAGUUGGUGGGGUAACGGGCCUACCAACGCCUCGCGAUCCGUAGCUGGUCUGAGAGGAUGAUCAGCCACACUGGGACGUGAGACACGGCCCACGACUCCUACGGGAGGCAGCAGUGGGGAAGUAUUGGUACGAAUGGGGGCGAACCCUCGAUCCAGCAAUGCCGCGUGAGUGAAGAAGGCCUUAGGGUUGUAAAGCUCUUUCGGGCGGGACGAUGAUGACGGUACCCGCAGAAGAAGCCCCGG
rnacentral:rRNA from 1 species